rnacentral:rRNA from 1 species
CUUCGGUCCGUUCGUUUGUGACUCUGAAUAACUUUGCUGAUCGUACGGUCCUUGUACCGACGACGCAUCUUUCAAGUGUCUGCCUUAUCAACUUUCGAUGGUAGGUUCUGUGCCUACCAUGGUUGCACGGGUAACGGAGAAUAACGGUUCCACUCCCGAAAAGGAACCCGGAAAACCGCUCCCACAACCCAAGGAGG